rnacentral:rRNA from 1 species
GACGAACGCUGGCGGCGUGCCUAAUACAUGCAAGUAGAACGCUGAAGGAGGAGCUUGCUUCUCUGGAUGAGUUGCGAACGGGUGAGUAACGCGUAGGUAACCUGCCUGGUAGCGGGGGAUAACUAUUGGAAACGAUAGCUAAUACCGCAUAAUAGUAGAUGUUGCAUGACAUUUGCUUAAAAGGUGCAAUUGCAUCACUACCAGAUGGACCUGCGUUGUAUUAGCUAGUUGGUGAGGUAACGGCUCACCAAGGCGACGAUACAUAGCCGACCUGAGAGGGUGAUCGGCCACACUGGGACUGAGACACGGCCCAGACUCCUACGGGAGGCAGCAGUAGGGAAUCUUCGGCAAUGGACGGGAGUCUGACCGAACAACGCCGCGUGAGUGAAGAAGGUUUUCGGAUCGUAAAGCUCUGUUGUAAGAGAAGAACGAGUGUGAGAGCGGAAAGUUCACACUGUGACG